CCUACGGGUGGCAGCAGUGGGGAAUUUUGGACAAUGGGCGCAAGCCUGAUCCAGCAAUGCCGCGUGUGUGAAGAAGGCCUUCGGGUUGUAAAGCACUUUUGUCCGGAAAGAAAACCUCGUGGUUAAUACCCGUGGGGGAUGACGGUACCGGAAGAAUAAGCACCGGCUAACUACGUGCCAGCAGCCGCGGUAAUACGUAGGGUGCAAGCGUUAAUCGGAAUUACUGGGCGUAAAGCGUGCGCAGGCGGUUCGCUAAGACAGAUGUGAAAUCCCCGGGCUUAACCUGGGAACUGCAUUUGUGACUGGCGGGCUAGAGUAUGGCAGAGGGGGGUAGAAUUCCACGUGUAGCAGUGAAAUGCGUAGAGAUGUGGAGGAAUACCGAUGGCGAAGGCAGCCCCCUGGGCCAAUACUGACGCUCAUGCACGAAAGCGUGGGGAGCA
rnacentral:rRNA from 1 species